rnacentral:rRNA from 1 species
UUAAGCGACUAAGCGUACACGGUGGAUGCCCUGGCAGUCAGAGGCGAUGAAGGACGUGCUAAUCUGCGAAAAGCGUCGGUAAGGUGAUAUGAACCGUUACAGCCGGCGAUGUCCGAAUGGGGAAACCCAGUGCAAUUCGUUGCACUAUCGUUAACUGAAUACAUAGGUUAACGAGGCGAACCGGGGGAACUGAAACAUCUAAGUACCCCGAGGAAAAGAAAUCAACCGAGAUUCCCCCAGUAGCGGCGAGCGAACGGGGAGCAGCCCAGAGUCUGAAUCAGCUUGUGUGUUAGUGGAACGGUCUGGAAAGUCCGACGGUACAGGGUGAUAGUCCCGUACACCAAAAUGCACAGGCUGUGAACUCGAAGAGUAGGGCGGGACACGUGGUAUCCUGUCUGAAUAUGGGGGGACCAUCCUCCAAGGCUAAAUACUCCUGACUGACCGAUAGUGAACCAGUACCGUGAGGGAAAGGCGAAAAGAACCCCGGCGAGGGGAGUGAAAAAGAACCUGAAACCGUGUACGUACAAGCAGUGGGAGCACCUUCGGGUGUGACUGCGUACCUUUUGUAUAAUGGGUCAGCGACUUAUAUUCUGUAGCAAGGUUAACCGUAUAGGGGAGCCGCAGGGAAACCGAGUCUUAACUGGGCGUUAAGUUGCAGGGUAUAGACCCGAAACCCGGUGAUCUAGCCAUGGGCAGGUUGAAGGUUGGGUAACACUAACUGGAGGACCGAACCGACUAAUGUUGAAAAAUUAGCGGAUGACUUGUGGCUGGGGGUGAAAGGCCAAUCAAACCGGGAGAUAGCUGGUUCUCCCCGAAAGCUAUUUAGGUAGCGCCUCGUGAACUCAUCUUCGGGGGUAGAGCACUGUUUCGGCUAGGGGGUCAUCCCGACUUACCAACCCGAUGCAAACUACGAAUACCGAAGAAUGUUAUCACGGGAGACACACGGCGGGUGCUAACGUCCGUCGUGAAGAGGGAAACAACCCAGACCGCCAGCUAAGGUCCCAAAGUCAUGGUUAAGUGGGAAACGAUGUGGGAAGGCACAGACAGCCAGGAUGUUGGCUUAGAAGCAGCCAUCAUUUAAAGAAAGCGUAAUAGCUCACUGGUCGAGUCGGCCUGCGCGGAAGAUGUAACGGGGCUAAACCAUGCACCGAAGCUGCGGCAGCGACACUAUGUGUUGUUGGGUAGGGGAGCGUUCUGUAAGCCUGCGAAGGUGACCUGUGAGGGUUGCUGGAGGUAUCAGAAGUGCGAAUGCUGACAUAAGUAACGAUAAAGCGGGUGAAAAGCCCGCUCGCCGGAAGACCAAGGGUUCCUGUCCAACGUUAAUCGGGGCAGGGUGAGUCGACCCCUAAGGCGAGGCCGAAAGGCGUAGUCGAUGGGAAACAGGUUAAUAUUCCUGUACUUGGUGUUACUGCGAAGGGGGGACGGAGAAGGCUAUGUUAGCCGGGCGACGGUUGUCCCGGUUUAAGCAUGUAGGCUGGUUGUCCAGGCAAAUCCGGAUAAUCAAGGCUGAGGUGUGAUGACGAGGCACUACGGUGCUGAAGUAACAAAUGCCCUGCUUCCAGGAAAAGCCUCUAAGCAUCAGGUAACAUUAAAUCGUACCCCAAACCGACACAGGUGGUCAGGUAGAGAAUACCAAGGCGCUUGAGAGAACUCGGGUGAAGGAACUAGGCAAAAUGGUGCCGUAACUUCGGGAGAAGGCACGCUGGUGUGUAGGUGAAGUCCCUGCGGAUGGAGCUGAGACCAGUCGAAGAUACCAGCUGGCUGCAACUGUUUAUUAAAAACACAGCACUGUGCAAACACGAAAGUGGACGUAUACGGUGUGACGCCUGCCCGGUGCCGGAAGGUUAAUUGAUGGGGUUAUCCGUAAGGAGAAGCUCUUGAUCGAAGCCCCGGUAAACGGCGGCCGUAACUAUAACGGUCCUAAGGUAGCGAAAUUCCUUGUCGGGUAAGUUCCGACCUGCACGAAUGGCGUAAUGAUGGCCAGGCUGUCUCCACCCGAGACUCAGUGAAAUUGAACUCGCUGUGAAGAUGCAGUGUACCCGCGGCAAGACGGAAAGACCCCGUGAACCUUUACUAUAGCUUGACACUGAACAUUGAGCCUUGAUGUGUAGGAUAGGUGGGAGGCUUUGAAGCGUGGACGCCAGUCUGCGUGGAGCCGACCUUGAAAUACCACCCUUUAAUGUUUGAUGUUCUAACGUUGGCCCCUUACCGGGGUUGCGGACAGUGUCUGGUGGGUAGUUUGACUGGGGCGGUCUCCUCCCAAAGCGUAACGGAGGAGCACGAAGGUUAGCUAAUCCUGGUCGGACAUCAGGAGGUUAGUGCAAUGGCAUAAGCUAGCUUGACUGCGAGCGUGACGGCGCGAGCAGGUGCGAAAGCAGGUCAUAGUGAUCCGGUGGUUCUGAAUGGAAGGGCCAUCGCUCAACGGAUAAAAGGUACUCCGGGGAUAACAGGCUGAUACCGCCCAAGAGUUCAUAUCGACGGCGGUGUUUGGCACCUCGAUGUCGGCUCAUCACAUCCUGGGGCUGAAGUAGGUCCCAAGGGUAUGGCUGUUCGCCAUUUAAAGUGGUACGCGAGCUGGGUUUAGAACGUCGUGAGACAGUUCGGUCCCUAUCUGCCGUGGGCGCUGGAGAAUUGAGGGGGGCUGCUCCUAGUACGAGAGGACCGGAGUGGACGCAUCACUGGUGUUCGGGUUGUCAUGCCAAUGGCACUGCCCGGUAGCUAAAUGCGGAAGAGAUAAGUGCUGAAAGCAUCUAAGCACGAAACUUGCCCCGAGAUGAGUUCUCCCUGAGACUUUAAGUCUCCUGAAGGAACGUUAAAGACGAUGACGUUGAUAGGCCGGGUGUGUAAGCGCAGCGAUGCGUUGAGCUAACCGGUACUAAUGAACCGUGAGGCUUAACCUU